rnacentral:lncRNA from 1 species
GGAGGGUUCUGGAAGGCUGUAGUCUGAGGGUCUCUUGUGACACGGUGUGUAGAUGGAGGCUUCUGGAAGGCUGUGGUCUGGGGGUCUCUUGUGACACGGUGUGUAGAUGGAGGCUUCUGGAAGGCUGUAGUGUGAGGGUCUCUUGUGACACGGUGUGUAGAUGGAGGCUUUUGGAAGGCUGUGGUCUGGGGGUCUCGUGACAGGGUGUGUAGAUGGAGGCUUCUGGAAGGCUGUGGUCUGGGGGUCUCGUGACACGGUGUGUAGAUGGAGGCUUCUGGAAGGCUGUAGUGUGAGGGUCUGUUGUGACACGGUGUGUAGAUGGAGGCUU